rnacentral:rRNA from 1 species
GCCUACGGGAGGCAGCAGUGAGGAAUAUUGGUCAAUGGGCGGGAGCCUGAACCAGGCAAGUCGCGUGAGGGAAGACGGUCCUACGGAUUGUAAACCUCUUUUGCCGGGGAGCAACGGGGUCCUUGCGAGGGCCCGAUGAGAGUACCCGGAGAAAAAGCAUCGGCUAACUCCGUGCCAGCAGCCGCGGUAAUACGGAGGAUGCGAGCGUUAUCCGGAUUUAUUGGGUUUAAAGGGUGCGCAGGCGGUCUGUUAAGUCAGCGGUCAAAGCCCGGGGCUCAACCCCAGCCCGCCGUUGAAACUGGCAG